ACGUGAAUGGGCCACAACAUCUAAAGGAACUGGGGCACCUGGGAGUUUUCAUUUCCAUUAUUUCACUUGGAGCCAGUGGUUUUCAGAGCGGGGGGCCAGUGGCACCACAGAGCUGCCUUUGAAUGACCUUGGAUGAGCGACUAUUCACCCCCAUUAUAUUCUCCAUCUGUCAGAUGGAGACUGUGAUGUAAACCCCAUGUGGCUGGGAGGACUAACCAAGGUCCACAUCUCCAGGGCCGCUCUUAGCUCAGAGUCUUUCUGAGGGAAACUGCCUGGCACCAGUCCGUGUUGAAGGUGUCAGCCUAUUGGAACCUGCCCUCUCAGAUAGGUAAGAUCCAAAGAUGUCAGCCGCAAGCUUCCAGUCCCUGGAUGAGAACUUAGAGUAGGGCCAAGAGAGCUCUCUCAGGGAUAAAAAUAGAGUUGCUGUGAAGAUGAAGUAAAUGAAGACAUGCUGAGAACUCAGAACAACGCUUGGCAACAGUAAUUGUUUAAUACGUGCUAUUAUUAACAAGUAAUAGUCUUUCCCA
rnacentral:lncRNA from 10 species